UUUUGAAAUUUAAUAGGGACUGAUUUCAAAAUUGUAUUAAUGAUAAUAAAUUAAUUUUGAUUUAAAAAAAAUCAAAACAAGUUACAAAAUAAAAAUUAAACCCUAAUCUUUCUCUGCCUUCCCCUCUCUCGACAGAUCCCCAACCCAGACGGCACCACCAGUUUCCCAACCCAGACGGUGCCCCUCGUCGACUCCAAACCUAGACGGCGCCGAAGGGACAACUCCAAACCUCACCAUCUCCGCUUCGUCUUCUUUCUUCCUUGCCCACGCGACUGCAGAUCUGAGACCCCAUGAAAGAAACUCCAAGAUGGGUGGCGUUCGAGUUUGAUGAUGUUCUGGGUUUGACAAGCUAGGUGUUUGACUGGUUUUGGGUUCGAUGGGCUUGGUGUUCAAAUUAUUCUGGGUUUGUGGUUGACAAAGGGUGGGAUUCAUGGUUCGACGGGCUUGGUGUUCAAACAAAAAGGCGUUGGGAUUAUGGUUGCAGUGGCUUGAUGUUCAUAUCCUAGACCGGACCCCAAAAAUGGCGAAAGGGCCUCUCUGGCUUCUCAGUCUUGGUUACCGAUCAAAUUCCCCAAAUCCCUCCUUUUCCCUAUAUUGAAUGGAGCCCUAAUUUGUUUAUGACUCAUAUUGGGAGAAAUUUGUUUGCAAUCUGAUCAUUAUUGCUCAAAGAUACAUAAAUUUGAGCCCUAAUUUCGAUCGAUUUGGGUGAGAAUUUUCAAUUGUUGGACCUGAACUGGAACUUUGUAUUCUAUUUAGCAAUUCUAGGGUUUGAUUUUGAAUUUCGUGGGCGCGCUGUAUGAGUAGCACGUCAAAAUUUUAGGAUAGGGAUCGAUCGGGUUGCAAGGAGUAGAUUUUUUGGUUCAAAAUGUGUUUUAUUUAUUUUGGGUUUUGUAUACAUUUUUUAUGUGUUUUAAAUUGUUUUGAAUAUUACAUGUGUAAUAUAUUUCAAUUUUUUAGUUUAUUUUUUUAAUUGUGUUUGUAGAAUCAUUUGAACAUUUCAUGUAUUAACUUGUAAAUUAUCAUUUAGGUUUUUAUUUUAAUAAAAUACAAUUUUGUUUAUGUAA